rnacentral:rRNA from 1 species
CAUGCAGUCGAGCGGGGUUUUCGGACCUAGCGGCGGACGGGUGAGUAAUGCGUAUGGAGCUACCCGAUAGAGGGGGAUACCAGUUGGAAACGACUGUUAAUACCGCAUAAUGUCUACGGACCUAAGUGUGGGACCUUCGGGCCACAUGCUAUCGGAUGCGCCUACGUGGGAUUAGCUAGUUGGUGAGGUAAUGGCUCACCAAGGCGACGAUCUCUAGCUGGUUUGAGAGGAUGAUCAGCCACACUGGAACUGAGACACGGUCCAGACUCCUACGGGAGGCAGCAGUGGGGAAUAUUGGACAAUGGGCGCAAGCCUGAUCCAGCCAUGCCGCGUGUGUGAAGAAGGCCUUCGGGUUGUAAAGCACUUUCAGCGAGGAGGAAGGGGUAGGUGUUAAUAGCAUCUACUUUUGACGUUACUCGCAGAAGAAGCACCGGCUAACUCUGUGCCAGCAGCCGCGGUAAUACAGAGGGUGCAAGCGUUAAUCGGAAUUACUGGGCGUAAAGCGCACGCAGGCGGUUGGUUAAGUCAGAUGUGAAAGCCCCGGGCUCAACCUGGGAACUGCAUUUGAAACUGGC